rnacentral:tRNA from 2 species
GCCGUAGCUUAAUUGGAUAGAGCAUUUGGCUACGAACCAAAAGGUUGCAGGUUCAAGUCCUGUCGGCU